GGCCACGUUGGGCGGAGAUGCGAGGCGGAAGGCGGAAGAGCCUGUGCUCGGGAGACGGCCACGUGAUCGCGCGCCCGCAGCGCCGAUUGGCCGGACGCUCCCGGGCCACGCCCCAGGGGCGGAGCCUUCGCUGUCCGGCGCCGGCGCUGUCGCGGGGAAAGAAGAGUCCUCGGGCGCCCUUGGGAGCCGCCCCGGUGGGCGUGUUGCUGUCCAGAGUUUCACUCCCAAGGCUUUCUGGAGAGGGAGCAUGGUAGAAAGGAAGGAAGCUUUGUUGUCACAGAGAGCAAAUGGCAAGCUGGUGUCCCACCUAGUGGUCAGCGGGAGGUAGCCCAUUUCAAAAAGAGAUGGGAAGACAUUUCAUAUUAUCUUCUGUGGGGCAGAAGCCUGAAGAACUGUUAUCGGUUCAUCCUUUUCUCUCCACUUACAGAGGCCCGGGCAAGAAGCAGAACUGCUGGAUCGAAGAGCAAGUAUUUUCUUUCCAGUGAUUGUACCAAAUUUCCCUUCAAAUACUCGUGUGUAAUUUUGGACGAUGACGAAUAAGGCUGCUGUGAACAUUCUGGAACAUGUCUUUUGGUGCACACGGAGAGGAAAUGCUAGGCCCUCGGGCAAGCACAUGUUCAUCUUUAGUCAUGUACUUAGUACUUUCGUACGGUUUAGUCCUUCUUGUGCUGAUGCUGUGGGUGCCCACAGAUCCUCCCUCCACGACCAAACACUGGUUCCCCACCUGUCAGGACGUUGGCUGCUGAUGGCUCUCAGCUGAGACCCCUCCCCAGGCACUGCACUCAGCUGAAGGGAGCUGCCUGGCCAGACAAUGUACCCCUAGCCUGGUGGCAGCCCAGGUGCAAUGACUGAUGGAUGUGAGGAUAGAAAAGUCCAGCCCCCAUGUUAAUUGUGGACAUCUGUGAAGGGCCAUCCCAGCUUCAGAGCUCCCCAAGGGAUCUCCUGGGGUCUCCAUUACAAUGUUGAAUAGAAACAGUGAGGGUGAACCCCUGUGCCUUGUUACCAAUGUGAAGGGGAAAGCAACCUUGAAUUCUUGGAAUAAACUCCUGGAACAAAUUGGUCAUGUGUUAUUAUUUUUAUGUUUU
rnacentral:lncRNA from 1 species